CUCUCUUUCAUGAUGCUUGUGAGGUUAUUCUGGAAAGAGGCCAUGACAUUUUUCGUCAUUAUGGCUUUGUCAUUUUACAGAGUGAAUGACAACAAGUGUUUGUUGAAUAAAUGCAUUGAUAUGAGAUCUACUUCAUAAAAAUGCAAAUGAAUGCAUGAAGGAAAUUAGAAGAAUCAUAGUGAAAAUUAUGACUGUGACUCUUCUUUUCCAGUUUUAUAUUUUUGCUUCAGAAUAAUUCUUACUUUCCUAAAUUGUCAUAGAAAUUACAAAGGGUCUAGUCCAAAAUGCUUAUCUCAUAUCUAUUAUUUAACAACAGGAGCCCUUGAAGCUAUGUAUUUUCAAUUACUUUAUAAUUACAUACAUUGCGUGAUUGAAAUCAAAUUGAGAAACAUGUUUCUCUUGUGAAUACAAAAAGUCUUAUCAUUGCCAAGGUGCAGCCACUUCUGACAAUUAAAGUUCUUUACGUCAAGAACUGUUUUUCAUUUUCAGUCAAAGAUGCUAAACAUCAAUUCAAGUGUUUUUCUUAUUUUUUAUCACAUUCAUGGACUUGUUGAGAUGGAAGCUAGAAACAGAGGUAAAGAAUAACUCUCAUCUGAGAUACAGGAAGAAAACUCAGAUAUGUAGGUAAACAUUAGUAUAAUGCUUUAGGCCAAAGAGAGCACAUCACCGUCACAUGCAGCUUUAGCUUUUGGGGAUUUGAUAUGGUUUGGCUGUGUCCCCAUCAAAUUUCAUCUUGAAUUAUAAUCUCCAUAAUCCUUACCUGUUGUGGACAGGACCUGGUGGGAGGUGAUUGGAUCAUGGGAACAGUUUCCUCCAUGCUGUUCUCAUGAUAGUGAGUGAGUUCUCAUGAGAUCUGAUGGUUUUAUAAGUGUUUGACAGUUCCUCCCAUGCUCUCUCUCUUUUUCUCUCUCUCUCUCAUUCUCGCUCUCUUGCCUGCUGCCAUGUAAGACAUGACUGCUUCUCCUUCUGCCACGAUUGUAAGUUUCCUGAGGCCUCCCCAUCCAUGCUCCUGGAACUCCUCUGCCAAUCCUGUGAUUCUGACAACUCUCAGAGACAACCCUGAUUCAGGAUGUCCCAGUCUGCAGUGAAAAUGAAUUCUGUUCUGCCUCUGCUAUGCGCUCACAAAUUUUUAAUGAAAGGAGAUGGUGGCUGGGCGUAGUGGCUCACGCCUAUAACGACAACACUUUGGGAGACCAAGGCGGGCAGAUCACUUGAGUUCAGGAGUUCAAGACCAUCCUGGCCAACAUGGUGAAACUCCAUCUCUACUAAAAAUACAAAAGUUAGCUGGUUGUGGUGGUGGGUGUAAUUCUAGCUACUGAGGAAGUUAAAGCAGGAGAAAUCGCUUGAACACAGGAGGUGGAGGUUGCAGUGAGCCGAGAUUGUGCUACUGCACUCCAACCUUGGCAAGAGAUCAAAACUCUGUCUCAAUGAAUGAAUGAAUAAAUAAAUAAAUAAAUAAAGAGAUGGUAUGGAAUCAUUAUUAAUUUUGGGCCCUUCAUGUUAGCUAAUAUGUUUAAGCCUAAGUCAAGAUAGAAACUGACCCAGAUUAUUAGCAUGUUUCAGUGAAUAAUAUUUUAAAAUAAUUCAACACUGACACAUAAUACUAUAGUAUUCCACUUAGAUAUAAAAAAUAUGAUAAAAGAAGUCUCAUAUUCUUAUCCUGGCAUGGUGGCUCACACCUGUAAUCCUAGGACUUUGGGAAACCAAGGGCGGGGGGGAUCCUUGAUGCCAGGAGUUUGAAACCAGACUGGACAAUAUAGUGACACCUCUCUCUACAGAAAACUUAAAAACUAGCUGGGCGUUGCCGCAAGCACCUGUAGUCCCAGCUACUGGGGAGGCUGAGGUGGGAGAAUUGCUUUUCCCAGGAGUUCCAGGCUACAAUGAGCUAUGAUCACAUCACUGCACCCCAGCCUGGGUGAUACAGUGAGACCCUGUCUCUUAAACAAACAAACAAAAAGUAAUCCCAGAACUCUAAUGAUCUUAUAUGUUAUAGGACUUUAAAAAAUUAGCCAGGCAUGGUGGCGCAUACCUGUAGCCCCAGCUGCUUGGAAGGCUGAGGCAUGAGAAUCUCUUGAGCCUGGGAGGCAGAGGUUGCCCUGGAUGAUAGAGGAAACUCUGUCUCAAAAUAAGUAAAUAAAUGAAUGAAAGUAUACCGAAAGUUUUAACUUAACAAAUUUUAUUUACGCCUCGCAUUGAUGAAGUGAUAAGAACAGAUAAG
rnacentral:lncRNA from 1 species